CCUACGGUGGGCAGCAGUGAGGAAUAUUGCUCACUGGGGGCAAGCCUGAAGCAGCCACGCCGCGUGAUUGAUGAAGGCCUUAGGGUUGUAAAGCUCUUUAAUCGUGGACGUAUUUUGACGGUAGCAGAAGAAUACGCUCCUGCCAACUACGUGACAGCAGCCUCGGUACUACGUAGGGAGCACUCGUUAUCCGGAUUUACUGGGGUUAACGGGCGUGUAGGCGGGCAUGCAAGCCAGAAGUGAAAUCUGCGGGCUUAACCCCCAAACUGCAUUUGGCACUGGGUGUCUUGAGUGAUGGAGAGGCAGGCGGAAGUCCCAGUGUAGCGGUGAAAUGCGUAGAUAUUGGGAGGAACACCAGUGGCGAAGGCGGCCUGCUGGACAUUAACUGACGCUGAGGCGCGAAAGCGUGGGGAGCAAACAGGAUUAGAUACCCUUGUAGUC
rnacentral:rRNA from 1 species